rnacentral:rRNA from 1 species
GUAGGUGGCAAGCGUUGUCCGGAAUUAUUGGGCGUAAAGCGCGCGCAGGCGGUCCUUUAAGUCUGAUGUGAAAGCCCACGGCUCAACCGUGGAGGGUCAUUGGAAACUGGGGGACUUGAGUACGGAAGAGGAAAGCGGAAUUCCAAGUGUAGCGGUGAAAUGCGUAGAGAUUUGGAGGAACACCAGUGGCGAAGGCGGCUUUCUGGUCUGUAACUGACGCUGAGGCGCGAAAGCGUGGGGAGCAAACAGGAUUAGAUACCCUGGUAGUCCACGCCGUAAACGAUGAGUGCUAAGUGUUAGGGGGUUUCCCGCCCCCUUAGUGCUGCAGCUAACGCAUUAAGCACUCCGCCUGGGGAGUACGGCCGCAAGGCUG